ensembl:antisense Gm29245 predicted gene 29245
GUGAGUAAAAUAUUAUCAUGAAGCAAGGUCCAGACAAAAAGGGGCCCAGAUGUGGUCCCAACUGAACCACCUACCUCUGAAUAAGGCCAACCGACAGACCUAAGCCUGCUCAGCAAUUCCAAAAGACUAAUGUCUAGCCAGCGGCUUGGACGUGUAUGUGUGUGUGUGUGUGUGUGUGUGUGUGUGUGUGUGUAAUUGAGGGGGGUUAUAAGGUCUUACUUAGCAAGCAGUUUUUAUUAAAAAAUCCAUCCCCAGUGCCUUGCUUCCAUUCUCAAAUGGGGUGAGGGUGGGGGAGGGAGAUGCAGUGGGGAAAUGCUGUAUAGUCUUCCUGCUUGAUUACCAGAGCCUUUCCGGAACGUAAUUCUCUCUGAAUGAAAUCUCAAAGGAUUGAGCCUGUGCUAAAGUUUCUAGUAUGAGAGCUGCACCAAGGUGAUAAUGCAAUUAACCUGAGUAAUACUUCAAACGUCUUGCUAAUAUAUACAUCAUGUAUAUGUAUAUGUAUAUGUAUAUGCAUAUGUAUAUGUGUGUGUGUAUAUGUAUGUGAUGUAUAUGUACAUGAUGUAUAUGUAUGUGUAUAUGUAUUGACAGUUUAGACUGUGUUCAUAGUGUGAUUUCAAAAAUUAGCCUCAGAGGUUUGUGAAUUUGCUCAAAUUAAAAGGAUAAAGAUGUGUCAGUAUAAGAAGAACCGGCUGGCUCUUCUUAAUAUUUUCUAAUAUCGCUUAACAGCAUUCUGAACGGCUGCACUGCAGCCUUUCUCGGUUCACUUCCUAGACUCUGCAGCAAAAGUCUGUGAUUAUUAUUUAAGGAUCACGGUGAUUCCCUUCACGGCAUGGGGGAAUAAAGAAAAGCAAGAGCAGGGCUAUUAUCCUGUGUUUAUAACAAGUCUGUUGCCAUAGUAAUGCCUGUGAUGUCACAAAUGCUACACCCAGGGCCAGAAGCUGUCUCCGAGGGGGAGGGGCAGCUUGGCCUUGGAAAAUGGACACAAGCAUUCCAGGCCAAAGCAGGGUCAACAGCGAGGUAAUCAUGGAAACACAGGGAGCUCCCUUCACCAGAGAAAGGAAGGGGGUGGAGCAGGGCCAGAAAAGCAACUCCCUGGGCCCAGAAGUGAGCUCACGCAUGCUUCUUAUACGCAGCUGUGCAAAGGGAGUGGAAAUCCAAGCGAAUGUGGUACCUCUGUGUUCCCAGUCAGGAUCACUCCACUGGGCUCACUGGCUGCCAAGACGUGAAUGGGAUCCAGGGUCUGCCCUAGCUCACAAAACUGCCGGGAACCAGUGCCUGCCCAGACAGAGCCUCUAAGGCCCGCAAGAGAUGCAAGUGCCUCACAUGGCAGCCCCUGAGAGCCUAGCUAGGACAUUCCCACCAAAAGUCAUCAAACUCAGAGAGCCACAGAUUCUCA